CACGGAUUUGGCCUUCACUGAUAGCCUGGUAACAUACACUCCCAGGUCUUUCUCUGCCUCUGUGGUGGAUAGUGGAGUGUUUCCCAUGUGGUACUGGUGUGCUGGAUAUCCCUUCACUGGUAGCCUGGUAACAUACACUCCCAGGUCUUUCUCUGCCUCUGUGGUGGAUAGUGGAGUGUUUCCCAUGUGGUACUGGUGUGCUGGAUAUCCCUUCACUGGUAGCCUGGUAACAUACACUCCCAGGUCUUUCUCUGCCUCUGUGGUGGAUAGUGGAGUGUUUCCCAUGUGGUAUUGGUGUGCUGGAUAUCCCCUUCCAAGGUGCAGGACUUUACAUUUUUCUUCAUUGAAUUGUAGCAGCCACUUUUUGUUCCAUUCCUGUAGCUUGAUGUCUUCUUGUAGGAAAUCCACAGUCAAGGGGUUAAGA